rnacentral:rRNA from 1 species
AGACCCGAAACCCGGUGAUCUAGCCAUGGGCAGGUUGAAGGUUGGGUAACACUAACUGGAGGACCGAACCGACUAAUGUUGAAAAAUUAGCGGAUGACCUGUGGCUGGGGGUGAAAGGCCAAUCAAACCGGGAGAUAGCUGGUUCUCCCCGAAAGCUAUUUAGGUAGCGCCUCGUGAAUUCAUCUCCGGGGGUAGAGCACUGUUUCGGCUAGGGGGCCAUCCCGGCUUACCAACCCGAUGCAAACUGCGAAUACCGGAGAAUGUUAUCACGGGAGACACACGGCGGGUGCUAACGUCCGUCGUGAAGAGGGAAACAACCCAGACCGCCAGCUAAGGUCCCAAAGUCAUGGUUAAGUGGGAAACGAUGUGGGAAGGCCCAGACAGCCAGGAUGUUGGCUUAGAAGCAGCCAUCAUUUAAAGAAAGCGUAAUAGCUCACUGGUCGAGUCGGCCUGCGCGGAAGAUGUAACGGGGCUAAACCAUGCACCGAAGCUGCGGCAGCGACACUAUGUGUUGUUGGGUAGGGGAGCGUUCUGUAAGCCUGCGAAGGUGGCCUGUGAGGGUUGCUGGAGGUAUCAGAAGUGCGAAUGCUGACAUAAGUAACGAUAAAGCGGGUGAAAAGCCCGCUCGCCGGAAGACCAAGGGUUCCUGUC